GAUGAAGAACGCAGCGAAAUGCGAUACUUGGUGUGAAUUGCAGAAUCCCGUGAACCAUCGAGUCUUUGAACGCAAGUUGCGCCCGAAGCCAUUAGGCCGAGGGCACGCCUGCCUGGGCGUCACACGUCGUUGCCCCCCCCAUCUACUCCUUCGGGAUUGCGGGGGGCGGAUGAUGGCCUCCCGUGUGCCUCGCCGCGCGGUUGGCAUAAAUACCAAGUCCUCGGCGACGCGCGCCACGACAAUCGGUGGUUGCGAAACCUCGGUUGCCCGUCGUGUGCGGUCGUCGCGCAUCGAGGGCUCGAAAAAAUUGCCGGGUUCCGGCUCGGCUUUCAACGCGACCCCAGGUCAGGCGGGGUUACCCGCUGAAUUUAAGCAUAUCAAUAAGCGGAGGA
rnacentral:misc_RNA from 1 species